rnacentral:rRNA from 1 species
ACGUAGGGUGCGAGCGUUAAUCGGAAUUACUGGGCGUAAAGCGUGCGCAGGCGGUUAUUUAAGACAGGUGUGAAAUCCCCGGGCUUAACCUGGGAAUUGCGCUUGUGACUGGAUAGCUAGAGUGCGGCAGAGGGGGGUGGAAUUCCACGUGUAGCAGUGAAAUGCGUAGAGAUGUGGAGGAACACCGAUGGCGAAGGCAGCCCCCUGGGCCAGCACUGACGCUCAUGCACGAAAGCGUGGGGAGCAAACAGGAUUAGAUACCCUGGUAGUCCACGCCCUAAACGAUGUCGACUAGUUGUUGGGGAAGGAGACUUCCUUAGUAACGAAGCUAACGCGUGAAGUCGACCGCCUGGGGAGUACGGUCGCAAGAUUA